GGCACUUUGGCGGAGUGGUUAACGCGAUGCCCUGCUAUAUCCUAAUAGGCUUAGCUUAGGCAUUCCCUUCGGGGGCGUGAGUUCGAAUCUCACAGGUGUCG
rnacentral:tRNA from 1 species